UUGUCAACAUUAGGCCAAAUCUGGGGUCAAGCGCCUAAUUUGCAUAUUCAGUAAACGGCUUCUAUCUUGAAAACUAAGACAGAUAUCAACUAACUUUGUAUUAUCGACUUAUAGGAAGUUGGAUAGGACCUUGUCAUUUGGUACCAAUUUUGU